rnacentral:rRNA from 1 species
AAUUUUUUUAGAACGGUGGAAUAUGUGGUUUAAUGCGAUAAUCCACGCAAAAUCUUACCAAUAUUAAGUGAAGACUAUUCGAAUUUUUUGUAAUAAAAAUAUUUUUUUUUGUCUUCAAAGGUAUUGCAUGGCUGUCGUCAGUUCGUGUUUUGAGAUGUAAAAUUUAGUUUUUAAUAAGUUUUUUUCAAACGAAUGAAACCUUUCUUUUUUUUUUUUAAAAAAAAAUUUUUUAAAGCUGAAGUCAAGUCCUUAUGGUCUUUAUAUAUUGGGCUAUGCACGUAUUACAUUGGCUAAUAUAAUUAGUUACAAAAUAUGCAAAUUUGAGUCAUUCUAAAAUAAUAGUCUUUUUUGAAUUAUUCUAUGUAACUCUAGAGUAUGAAACAGGAAUCGUUAGUAAUUGUAAGUUAGAAAAGUACAGUGAACUUAUUUUAAAAUUUUGCACACACUGCCCAUCACGCUCGAAAAUUUUUUUUUAUUUUAUAGUUUGAUUAAAUGGAUAAUAUGAAAAUGAUAAACUAAAAUAUGAGAUUU